CGGCUGGUGUUCUGCUUUGAAACAAACUGCUGUUGAGGUCUGUGUUUUUAGGUUUAACCCCACAGUUUCUGAAUGAACUGAUAGUUGUUUUUUUUCCUGAUCAAUGUGGACGUUAUAAUUGAUGGUAACAUUUACUGAUCAUAUAAUCAGCAUGACAAUAUAACAGUAUAACAUUCUGACCACCUGACUAAUACUGUGUUGGUCCCUUUAUGCUGCUAAAACUCCUCUGACCCAGUGGUUCAUCAGAACCUCUGGGGAUCCUGUGGAUUCUGUGGAUCCUGUGGGUUGCAGGGUGGGUCCUACCUAGACCAGGCUGAUCCUGGACCAUCCCACAGAUGCUCCAUCAGAUCUGGAUGUGGGGAGUGUGGAACCCAGAUGUUCAGAGGGAGAUGAUGCCACAUCUGGUCCAGCUGAUGGAAGGUCUUGAAGUUCUCUGACUGGCCUCGACUGAAGAUGGUCGUCUCACUGGAUUUAAGGUUCAGAUGCUCAGUAACAAACUCCACCAAUGAGCCAACAGGGAAGCUUUAGGUUUAUUAAAUGUUGCUAUGAAGGUAUCGCUGUUUUUCUUAGUGAAUGCAAUGAGAUCCAACUGAAACUUGAAUUAGAACUUAGAAGUAAAUCCUUCCAUCUGAAAGGAUUUAGUUGCAUUAAUAACCUCAUAACAUCCUAAUUUUUAUUCCAGUCUUGGUUGGAAAUAGAAUCUCUGUAUUGAUUCAGGUAAAAACUGAACUUCACAGCAUGUUGGAGCAAAACAACCAGAUGAAAACUGUGAUGGUGUUGGAUUGUCAGACUGUAAUGUUGCAGCUCAAAGCAGCUUUUCUAUCUCAGUUCAUUCUGACAUUCAGCUAUGAAUCAACACAGCAGAUGGUGAUCCAUGCUGUGGAAGUCUCACAUCUCCUGAUUUAAUGGAGCUGCUUUGCACUUUUUACACUGUUUAUUCACCAACACUUCAUUUAAUAAAAGUCCCAUCUAGUUUUUAUGAGGAAUGUGAUGUUUUAAUUUCUCUGAAUAACUGCAGUCUAAUGGAACAGCUGGAGUUGUAACAUCUGUCCUGAUAUUGAUCAUGAAGUAUUGAUCAGAAUGAUCAGAUGAGUUUGGUUUUACUGCCAGCUACCAUUCAGUCUGAGAUAUUAAGAAUAAAUAAAUGUGCAUAAUGUGGAAAUGAACAGAUUAGAUUUGUAUUUAUUCCUACAGCUGCUGCAGGUUCCAAAGUUCCAGAAUGUGGAGGAAUUUAGUCUCACAAUCACAGACAAUAAAUAUUAUCUGAAAGUCGGGUUAUUGUUGUUUAUCAGCACAAUACAAAAAGAUUAAUGUUAGAAAUAUUCCAGUUAAGACUCUAGAAUAUCAUGAUUUAUGUAAAUUUACCUCAAUAAUAUGAAUGUUCAGGUUAAGAUUGUACAGUGAUAUUUAUUAUGUAAGUUUAGCUGAUUAAAGUUUAUGACUCUGCACUAAAAUAUUAUUUAAAUUUACAUCAUUAUUAUAAUAUUUAGGGUCAGACCCUACAGUAUUGAGAUUAAGAAAUCAAAUAUUCUAUAAAAUGUAAAUACACUGAACUCAUUUGGAUAUAUUUAAGUGAGACUCUACAAUAUUAUUUGACACAAAUCUAUCUAAAUCAAAAUUUUAAUCAUUUUUACUCCAAACAUUUACUGGACUGAUUUAAAUAUUAAAAUCACUCCUUUCUAAUCCUCUGCUGUACGUUCAAACCUGAGGCCUUAAAUAGAAACACACAAGUAUCUGAUUGAAGGAACUUCUGCAGAGUCCUGGUUCCAGAACAUGAUGAUAGAAUUAUAGACAAACUUUAACAAAAGCUGCCUGAGAGUUUACAGGUUUUUAUGUUAGAUUUCUUCAGUAAUUUAAUGAGAGUUAUCAGCAAAAAUCAAGUGUUCAUUUGAUGAACUUCAUUUCCUAAAACAUCCAGAAUUGGAGCUCAUAUCUUUGGCAGCUGUAAAGUUUCUGCUCCUUCAAAGUUCACAACACAAUGAAUGAAUUCCUAAAACACUCUCAAUGCUGGAGAGCGUUUGUGAUGCUGAAGCAGUGACCAGUUUUUCUGUUUCUUCUCUGGAGAUGCACAAUGAGGGACGUCUGCAGAGACUGAGAAAGAGUCUCACCACAUCCUGACAUGAGGAAAAAGACUUUAUUGAAGACUACAAUGAGAAAAACUAUCAGACAGCAGACGGCUGCAUUCAAGGUGAGCUCUGAACAUUUGAUCUGGAACAGGAAUUCAAUAACGGCAGCAUGAGCUUCAUUUCAGUCUGUAGCUGCUGAAUUCAUGGAUGAAUCAUCUGGCACUAGAGAGGAAGACCAUCAAACAUCCACGUCAGCUGAUGGAGGUCCAAGAGUCUCACCCAACAAACAACCUACAGAGUGAAGACCUCGAAUCUGAUUGGACGGCCUCCUAUUCAGCCACAUUUUAGGCUGUUAGAUUGUUCCAGAUAAGACAAGUACAAGAUUCUUCAGAGCCGUUCUACCACGAGCCUGACAGGAAGAACUCCAACAGCUACUGAAUGUUCCUGUGGUUCCCUCAAGGCUACAGGAGGAGCCCUACGAGGACGAGCCGGUCCACCUGAUGGUGGCCAGUCGCUGCGGUUCAAAGCCAACACCGACUACGUGGACUUCUACUGGACCACACGGAGGCCUUCAAACCGGACCAACAAGUUCAGCGACUCCCCGACUCGUGGGUCUGAGGACGCCGCCGAGCCUCGGUCCAGCCGGCCUCCUGUCUGUGGGUGUUUGAGUGCUGAGAGGUUUGUGGAUGCAUGUGAACGUGUCUGUGUUGAAACAGCAGCUUUGGACUCAGUAACGCCGGGAAAAACCAAGAGCUCCUUUAUUUGUGACUUCCACUAAAAAACUGAUGAAAAUAAGUUUGCCAGGGUUCUGACUGAUAACAGAUUAUUAAAUAAUGAAAAUAAUCAGUUUAAAUAUUCCUUUAAACAAUCCUUUUAGGUCUACAUUUCCUUUACACUGACUUCUUGGUAUAUGUACAAGUAUUUUGGGUGGAAUAUACCAUUAAGCCCAAUGUUCAAGGGUUCUUCUGGGAAUAUACCAUUAAACCAACCUUUUAGGUAAAUGUUCCAGGAUGUUGGGUAGAAUAUACCAUCAGAUCAACCUUUUAGGUCUACAUUGGAAGAUUUUAGAGUAGAAUAUUACUCCAAACCAUCCUUUAGGUCUACAUUUAAGGUGGAAUACUCCUUUACACCAAGAUUUUUUUGGUCUACAUUGAAGGAUUUUAGGUGGAAUAUUCCUUUGAACGAACUUUUUAAGUUUAUGUUCAAGGAUGUUGGGUGGAAUAUACCAUCAGACCAACCUCCAAGGUCUACAGUAGUGAAUUUUAGGUGGAAUAUACCAUUAAACUCACCUUUUAGGUCUACAUUGGAGGAUUUUAGGUGGAAUUUUCUUCCAAACCGUCUUUUAGUCUACAUUUAAGGAUGUUUAGGAUGGUAUAUUCUUCCAAACCAACUUCUCAGGUCUACAUUUCAGGUGGAAUAUUCCUCCAUACUAACUUUUUUGGUCUACAUUGAAGGAUUUUUUCUAAACCACCCUUUCGGGUCUAUAUUUGAGGUUUUAGGUGGAAUAUUCCUUUUAACCAGCCCCUCAGGUCUCUUUGAGGAUUUUGGAUGGAAUACUCGGUUAAACCAACAUUUUAGGUGCAUGUCCAAGGAUUUUUGGUGGAAUGUUCCUUUAAGGUGGAUGUUUGAGGACCUUGUAGGUGGAAUACUUCCUGAAACCAACCUUUUAGGUCAACAUUCAAAGAUUUAAGGUGGAAUAUUCCUUUAAACCAACCUAAAUUUCAUGUUUUGAUCAUUAUCAAGUGAGAAACCUCAAUCCAGACUCCUCAUAAUGACGUUUGAGAUUUAUGCUGCUGUUAUUUGUUUAGUCCAGACUAAAUGACAGAAAUCCACAACUGUAAUUUUAUUUCAGGACUCGGUUAUUAAAUGUCAAAACAAUCCAUGUGACUCUAAAAACUCAACAGCUUUACAAACUCUAAGAUUAAACUCUCCACAAGGAUCCAAAAUAAGUUGGACUUCUACAUGAGAGCUUUAAUUAUUCUUCAUCUACUUCCUGAAAAGUUUGGUCAAUAAAAAAGACAAAAACUAAUAUUUUCAGCUGAACUAAAGACAGACUUUGUGAUUUUUCUGCUCACAUGUUGUGUUGUUGUAAACUUACUCUUUCAAAUAAAUAGCCUCCUAACCCCCUGGAAACCAGCGUUUGUCCUGUUUUUGUGUUGCUCCUCGGCGACCCUAGACAGCCGGGUCGUAAUGUUUUUUGAGCAACACACCAUACUAUGACGUUUUUACAAUGAUGGUUCUACUAUGGAACCAGUUUGACAUGUUCAGGUGUUCUUUGUGUGAAAACUCAGAGAUUUCAGGUAUCAGAAGGUGGUUUUCAACUUUCUUUGUUAACUUUCUGCUUCAACUUUAAACUAAAUUUCCUUCACUAACCCAGCCCUCUGGACUUCCAGUAAGCUGUGUUCCUAUUGGCUGUCCAGGUGGCUGCUUGGUGUUAUCAGGAACACCUGAGCAGCUCAGUGUCUUCCUGCUUUAUUUAGCUGCAGACAAACAUUUCCUCUGCUUCUCUUCACCACUGAACCGGGUUUGGCUCCAUUGCUUUAGUUUGUUCUUUAGGCGUUGGCUUGCAGCUUCCAGCAGUAAAAUCGUCUUUAAUGUGUUUCUUGGUGUGUUUUAGGGCUUUGUACUGGAUAGUUGUCUUGGUAAAUGUGGUUCUUUAGCCACAGUUAGCACAUGGUGCUAAUGUGUGCAGUGAUUAGUGGAUUUGGUGCAGCUGAGUUGUGUCUUUAUCUUGGCUGUAGUGAGUCUUUAGAGGUUUUUGGUCAGACACAUUCUGUAUUCUUGUUUGAGAACCAACGUUGGUUGUCCAGAAGGUAAGAGUUCCUGUCCUGAUUCUCUGUUCUCAGAGGUUCUCUGGUAGGCUGCAGGAGACUUUAGCGUUUGGGUUGUGCUAGUUUGGUUUUUGUACGGUUUCAUUUGGACGACUAUCUUGAGGCCCCUCCAUGUGGUUUAGUGAGGUUUUCUGGAACAGUUCUACAAAGCAACCUGCAGCAGAAGAGACUUUGAGAGUUUUUAGGAAGUUCUGGAGACCAGACUUUAGAGCAGCAGAAACAUUUGUCAGCAGUUUGAGCAGGAGAAGGUGAGCUUCAGAGUAGAAAUGAGACAGAAACCUUCUUGACCCGUGUGGUGAGGUCCUGUACCAAGAGUUUGAGCAGGUUGUGAAGAGUCUGUAGUUCUUUGGUCUGAAAGCACAAGAAGAGUCGACUCAUUAAAGGAGAAAACAGGAGAUAUUGUUGGUUCUUCUGUCGCUCUGCAGUUUCCAGUUUCCUUAGACUGAAUAUCAAGUUUAUAUUUUAAAUGAUUUCCCAUGUGAGCCCAAGAAGACUUCAAUAAACUCCCUCCAUCCCCUGGACACAACAUAUUUUAUUACCAUGUUAAAUCUUUUUUUUUAAAUAUGUUUUUGAGUUUUAAUCAUAGUUUUAGCAUAGUUUUUUCUCUUUGCUUGUUUAGUUUUGUCAUCUGUGUGAAAGGUGCUAAACAAAUAAAGUUGAAUUGAUAAACU